ensembl:snRNA LOC120102568 U6 spliceosomal RNA
GUGCUCACUUUGGCAGCAUAUAUACUAAAAUGGAAACAAUACAGAGAUGAUUAGCACGGCCCCUGCACAAGGAUGACACGCAAAUUCAUGAAGUGUUCCAUAUUUUU